CGUUGGGAGCAGCCAGCUUUAUAAAAGCUAGACGACUGUGGAACGAGCAUAAGUCUGUCUGAGAAUGAUGGCAAGAAUACAGACAACUUUAAUUUGCCUCCUUCUCCCCUGUCUCCUUCAGGAUUCAUUAAGUAGACAUGUCCCCCAUGAAGGUGGCCAUGCUUUGCAACCUCGCAUCCAGAGAGACAUAAAGAAUGUAGAUCCCCCUGUGGUCUUACAGGGGCCAAUAACUCAUGGAACGGAUGUAGACGCAAUCCUCCGGAAGCACAAUAUCACUUUACCAAAUGGCUACCUUGGUCAGUGCACUGUUGUGAACAGCUGUGAGGGUCUGAAAGAGCAACUGGAGGACACAAACAGACAAUUGCAUGAGAAAACCAGCCACACCAUUCAACUGGAACAAGAAGUGUUUAAACUGAAGCUCACAGUGAGACAGUUGAGAGUGAAGUCUGCAACCUGCGGUCUGGAAACAUCAGAUCACAUUGCCAAACUGCAAGCUCAGUUGGAGGAUAAGAUGAGUCAACUGGAACAGAUGUCGCAUGACAAUGGAAACCUGGUUCUGAGGAUCACAGCUCUUACCUAUGAAGUGAAUGAAUUACAGAAGAAGAACACAUCCACCUCAACUUCCACCAAGAUCACUGACCUACUGAGCCAGCUGGAGGAAAAGAACAAAGAAUUGCAGUUUAAAACAGAACAACUGGAAAAGAACAGUCACAGUUCUCAACGUAUUCUUGAGAUUAUUGAACUGCAGACCCAGAUCUGGGAGUUAGAGAAAACAAAUCACAGUCAGGAGACUUUAACCCAAAUCACUGUUCUACAGAGACAACUGGAUGCCAAGAUCAAUGAACUGGAGAGCAACUCCAAAGGGAGUGAUGACUCCAAAAUAGUGGUGAUGAUGAUCACAUUGGAGAAUGAGAUUACAGAGCUACAGAAAAGGAUCUUGGAGCUCACUGAGGAAUCCAAAACUAAAAUGACUGAUCUACAGAGGCAACUGAAGGAGAUGAACCAGCAACUAAUUGACAAGAUAUUACAACAGCCUGACAACAACACUAACACUGAACUAACUGAGGAGAUUUUAGCGUUGCAGAAUGCAAUAAAUAACCUAUACAUACAAAUAUCAAACCUACAAAAGAAGACCAAUGCCCAACAUGCAGCGCUGCAGAAGAAUUUAAACAACAAGGAAAAACAACAAGAAGCUUGGAAGAAACAACUGAAGGGGGAGGACGAGACUAGCGUACAGCUGAUUAUGAAGAUCAUUUCUAUAAUGAGGGAACAGAGGGAUUUACAGAUACAAACAACACAGCAGAUGCAGACAACAGCAGCCCAGAUCACUGCACUUCUGCAACAAGUUCAGGACAAAGAGGAUGAGAUUGACAGAGUUCAGGCUGAAAACAAAGACCUGCAGAAACAGCUGAAGGAGAAUAAUGCAACGUGUUUCAGUCUCGAGAACAAAUAUGACCGGGUGAGGGGUGAAUUAGAGGACAAGAUAAACUUACUUAACAGUCAAAAUUCAGGCUCCAAACUAGUUCUGAGUAUCGUGGCUCUGAAUGAUGAAGUGAAGUGGCUGAGGACUCAAAUAAUUUCUCCAGAAGCCGCAGACAAGAUCGAUGAGCUGCAGAAGCAACUGGAGCAGAAAAACCGAGAAUUAAAAACGAAGAGCAACGAACUGCAGGAAAAAAGUUCAAACGGACAAAGGAUUCUGAGAAUAAUUGAGGUGCAGAAUCUGAUAUGGGAGUUCCAGAAAGGAGUGGAUACUCAGAGCAACAUUUACCAGAUUGCAGUGCUACAGAAAGAGCUGAAUGACCUGACUGCUGAAAUGGAGGACAAGGCCGAUGACGACUCAAAACUGGUUCUGACGAUAACCACAUUACAGAGUGAGGUGGUCAACCUACAGAGAAUGCUGUCAGCUCUCAGUCAGUCAACCACAGCCCAGAUAGUUCGGCUGGAGAAGCAGUUGGAGGAUAAGAAGAAGCAGUUGGCCACGCUGGUUGAGCAAAGUGGAAAGGGUCCAAAAAUGUCAAACCUUGAGAAUCAAAUAAGUGAAAUAGAAAAGAGAAUAGCAGAGCUAAAAGAAGAAAAUCCUGAAGCCAAGAUCACUGAGCUGACAACACAGCUUAAGGAAAGCGAGAGGCAGCUUGAGGAGAACAUAAAAAGACUGAAGAAGAAAGACAGCAAGAAUUCUUACCUGAUUAUGCAAAUUCUUCAUCUACAAAGGAAACUCAGAGACAUACAAAAUGCUGCAUCUCAGCAAUUCAAUGAAACUGCUGCUGAUGUUACUGCGCUUCAGGAACAACUAGAGGCCAGAGAGGAAGAGAGCGCCAGAUGUCAGGCCCAGAACAAAGGUAAGCCAAGAUCAGGUCCUUCUGAUAUUAGUCUGGUUCACCAGUUUGUGUAACUAGACGCUUGAUGAGCAAAGCUGCUUGAAUCAUAACUACAG
ensembl:lncRNA